CCAGUCGAUGUCAUUGCUAACAGUUGGGAUACGGAUGGGGCUGGCUUGCAUCUUCUCCCUACCAAGAAUCAGGUCUGACGGCGUGAUGGAUUUAAGCAAAGCAACCAACUCUCAGUGGUAAUCGAAGCACAGCCAGUGUAUUGGUUAAUUCUGCUUCCCCCCCCCCCCCUCCCCGGGGUCAUUUCACUAAUUAAUAGCAGAUUCUAGUAAAGGGGUCACGAGGCGGGUACAGAGGCUCACGCCUGUAAUCCCAGCACUGUGGGAAGCCGAGGCGGGUGGAUCACCCGAGUUCAGGAGUUCGAGACCAGCCUGGCCAACAGGGUGAAACCCCGUCUCUACUAAAAAUACAAAAUAUAGUCGGCUGUGGUGGUGCACGCCUGUAGUUCCAGCUACUCGGGAGGCUGAGGCAGGAGAAUCGCUUGAACCCGGGAGGCGGAGAUCGCGCCACUGCACUCCAGCCUGGGGGACAGAGCGAGACUCCGUCUCAAAAUAAAAUAAAACAAUAAAAUGAAA